rnacentral:rRNA from 1 species
UACGUAGGGAGCAAGCGUUGUCCGGAAUCAUUGGGCGUAAAGCGCGCGUAGGUGGCCCCCGUAAGUCCGCUGUGAAAGUCAAAGGCUCAACCUUUGAAAGCCGGUGGAUACUGUGGGGCUAGAGUACGGAAGAGGCGAGUGGAAUUCCUGGUGUAGCGGUGGAAUGCGCAGAUAUCAGGAGGAACACCAAUAGCGAAGGCAGCUCGCUGGGACGGUAUUGACGCUGAGGCGCGAAAGCGUGGGGGAGCAAACAGG